rnacentral:lncRNA from 1 species
GCAGUGCGUUCGGGAUCUCCGCUGUCAAGACAAGCUGGCGGCGGGUGUCACUGUUGCGGCGACAUAAAAACAACUUCGGUGCCAUUUUCCUUUUCCUCCCUCAGUUGUCUUCUGCUGGUGUUUUGUUGGUUUGUUUUUGAGGCAGAUUUCGCUCUAUCGUUCAGGCUGGACUGCAGUGGCGCCAUCGCGGCUCACUGCAGUCUCGACCUUCUGGGCUCAAGAGAUCCUCCCGCCUCAGCCUCCCAGCUAAAUUUUUAAAAAUCAGUCAGCCUUGGUGGCUUACACCUAGUAGCUGGGACCACAGGCGCAGACCACCGCGCCUGGCUGAUUUGUUUUUAAUUUUUUUGUAGAGACAAGGUUUCCUCAUGUUGCCCAGCCUGGUUUCCAACUGCUGGGUUCAAGCGAUCCGCCUGCCUCGGCCUCCCAAAGUGCUGGAAUUACAGGCGUGAGCCACUGCAACCGGCCAAUUUUUUUUUUUUUUUAAAGUUUUGUAGAGGCCGGGCACGGUGGCUCACGCAUGUAAUCCCAGCACUUUGGGAGGCUGAGGUGGGUGGAUCACUUGAGGUCAGGAGUUCGAGACCAGCCUGGGCACAUGGUGAAACCUCAUCUCUAAUAAAAAUACAAAAAUUAGCCGGGCGUGGUGGCACACGCCUGUAGUCACCACUAUUUGGGAGGCUGAGGCAGGAGAAUUGCUUGAGCCCGGGAGACACAGACUGCAGUGAGCCAAGAUCGCGCCACUGCACUCCAGCCUGGGGACAGAGCAAGACUCCGUGUCAAAAAAGAAAUAAAGUUUUGUAGAGAGGGGUCUAGCUAUGUCGCCCAGGUUUGCCUCUAACUCCAGUGUUCAAGCAAUCCUUCCCUCUCAGCCUUCCAAAGCUUGGGAUUACAGGCUUGAGCCAGUGUUCCUGGCCCUGUCCUCUGCUCUUAAAGCAGCCCAGACGGAGUGGUGUUCACCCAACUCUGCCUAAAAUCCAAAACUUCCUCCCUCCUUUCCACCUCAGGGUUUGAAUUACAUAAGGGACCCAGGAAUCCCAGCACACCCCUCACACACCAGGCCCUCCUCAUCGAUCACGAUGUGCCUGUUAGGCCUUCACUCCUCUCCCUCUUAGGCCUUGGAGUGAGCAGGUGCAAUGCACCAUAGUGGUUAAGAGAUUACACCCUAGGAAUCAGGCAAAGGGUUAGGGCUUGAUUCUGUUACUCGCCAGCUCCAUGUUCCUGCCAAAUUGCUUCCCAUCUGUAUAAUGGGGAUAAUAGUACCUACCUCUUAGAGUUGUUGCUGAGGAUUAAUUAGAGUUUCAUAUGUAAAAAGUGCUUAGCAGAUAUAUAGGGAGUACUUAAUAAGGAAUAACUAAUAUAUAUACAGCAUUUAAUGUGUACUAUUGGGCGAAGUAUCUUAUCUCUUUUACAGAAGAGAAAACUAAGGUUGAGAGAAGAUAAGUCACAGAGUGAAUUCAUGGUGAUGCCAAGGCUUGAAGAUGAAAUUCCAGACUCUAUACUCUUAAACCACGGAACCUAUUUCCACUGUUACUACUGCUGUUGUUUUGUUGCUGUUGCUAAGUAAACAUUGUGUCAGAUCUAAUCUCUUCCUUACUGUAUCCUGGUAUCCAGUAGUUCCUAGACAAUUCUGCUGGAAGUUGGGGGUGGACCAGGAGCCUGGAGGGAAGAACAGGGGUAGAACUUGUUCCUUAAGGGCAGAUACGAGUAACCCCAUAACCCUGUUUACCCCAAGGCAGGACACUUGGGGGGCUAUUUUUUGACAUAAAUCAAAUGUUAAAAAUUGCCCAGAGGUGGGCCACAGUGGCUCACACCUGUAAUCCCCGCCUUUCAGGAGGCUGAGGUGGGAGGAUCGCUUGAGCCCAGGAGUUUAAGACCAGACCAGGCACCAUAGUGAGAACAUGUCUCUACAAAAACAUUUUUAAAAUUAGCCAGGCUUGGUGGUGUGCACCUGUAAUCCCAGCUACUCGGGAUGCUGAGGUGGGGGGAUCACUUGGGCUCAUGAGUUUGAGGCUGCAAUGAGCAGUGAUCAUGCCACUGCACUCCAGCCUGGGUGAUGAACUCAAUUUAAAACAAAAAAAAAAAUUGCUCCAGCCAAAAACCUGGACUUACUAUCUUGACUCCUCUAUCUCAAAUCCCAUACAUAAAUCUGUGGGUUCUAUUUACAAAGUAGGCCCAACACCUGCCCACUUCUCCACCCUUCAGGGCCCUCACCCUGGGCCUGUCCGCUGCUGUCUUGUCCUGAACCAUCACAGCAGCCUCCUCUCUGUGAAGCUGUCCCCCACCCCACUCCUACUCUGCUGACCACAUGCAGCAGAAGGAGCCUGUGAACUGAGUCAGGUCACAUGCCUCCCAUGUUUGAAAUUUCCUGUGGCUCCGUCUCACUCAGGGUAAAAACCUAAGUCCAUUCAAUGCCCUUCAAGGCCUGACAGAUCUGCCCCAUCGCCUCUCUGCCCUCAUCUCCUAGCGCUCUCUUCUCUGCUUCCUCCCCUCUCAACACUCUAGCUCCCUGAAGCUCCUCAGACUUACCGGACACACUCCUGUCUCAGGGCCUUGCACUGGCUGUUCCCUUUACUUAAAAUACCCUUCCCUGCAGACAUCCCCAGAACUCCCUCACCUCCGUCAGGGCUUUGUUCAAAUGCCAGCUCCUGGCUAGGCACAGUGGCUCACACCUGUAAUCACUUGGGAGAUUUCCACCUGGAAUCACUUGGGAGACCAAGGCAGGUGGAUCACUUGAGGUCAGGAAUUCGAGACCAGCCUGGCCAAAAUGGUGAAACCCUGACUCCACUAAAAAUACAAAAAUUAGCCGGGCGUUGUGGCACCCACCUGCAGUCCCAGCUACUCAGGAGCCUGAGGCAGGAGAAUCACUUGAACCCAGGAGGCAGAGGCUGCAGUGAGCAGAGAUCAUGCCACUGCACUCCAGCUUGGGUGACCGAGUCAGACUCUGUCUCAAAACAACAAAUGCCAACUCCUGAGGAGGGUCUAACCUGGCCACUCUAGCUAAAAUGGCAUGUAUCCCCCAUUCCCACUUUUUUUUUUCUUUCUGCUUUCUAUCAUUUCUAACAUAUUAAGUCAUUUACUUAUUGUCUCCCCUACUAUAAAGCUCAUAAGCUCUUUGCAGGAGGGACUUUUGUCUGUUCUGCCCACUGCUUUAUCUCCAGUGCUUUCAACAGGGCUUGGCACAUAAUUAGGUGCUCAAUAAAUGCAUUUGUUGAGUGUCUUAUAAAACUCAGCUUGAGGGUCUGAUGGGAGAAGGGAGAAUUUAAGUAGGAGACUGGUUUAGCAGUUCAGGAAGGUGAGUGGGUGGGGUGCACAGAGGCAAAUAAAUAACACAGGCUGAGACUUUGUCACAGACAUUUCUUGGAGCAGAUCUCGUGCCCCCUCCCCCGAUGACAAGGCUGGGUCUUUGGCCCCCAUCCUCCCCCACCACUUCAGCCUGCACUGACACUAACAAUAUUGAGGUCACAGACUGGCUUAGAAACAAGAUCAGGAAGAUAUAUGUUGGGGUGCCUCCCCCAAAUCUGGGGGCCAAGCAUCCGAUCUGAGGGGCAAGCGGCUGGGAAAUUGGGCCUGGGGGCUCCAGGGUCUGAGGUCUGCCUGGCUCCCAGGGCGGCCCUCCAUGUACCCCUGAUUUGGGGGCAAUGAAGGGGAAUCAUGGAUCAGAGGUGGGUCUCAGCAGGGAGCAGGACUGGGGGACCUGGGAGAGGCGCUGCUGGGAAGUGGCGGCCAGGGGACCUUUCCUUAGCCCCCACCGCUUCAUCUGCAGAUCCCACAGCACCGUACAGCACUCUGGUCCCCCGUCCCACCCCUCCCCAAAACGAGGUAGGUUAAGAAUGGAGCUUCCCCCCCGCCCACCAUGGAAGGGGGGAGACCGAGGCACAGAGAGGGGCAUGGGGACCCAGGCUGCCCCAGCCCCCAAUCCCUCCGCCCUCAGCUCUGGUGGGUCUGACAGUGAUGAGAGCUGGGCAGAGUGGGGAGGGGAGAGACACCCCCGCUUUUCUCUCACCCAUCCCAGGGUCUGGUUGGGAGUGCUGAAUCUCACAGGUUCCGGAUGUAAUAAAUAGUUAAUAAUUUAAAGGAAGAGACAGAGGACCUAUCCCUUGAACCCCAACAAGGCCAUCCAAGUCUGGGUAAUGAAGAAAGGUUAAGUGCACAGUUCCAGAUGCUUGGGGCCAGAUGCAGGUCCCAAGCCCAUACAACAUUGAGACUGUCUUGCUCCAAGACCUUGAGGCCCCCAUACAGGACACCAGAUCUUCGAUCCACUGGAAGCCCCAUUUCACUUGGGGGAAAAAAGCCUGUGGCACCCCCCUUUGCACAGAAGAGACUCAGUGGGCCAUGAAACAGGCUUUCAAACUUCCUGAAGCAACUUCUCACUCUAAAGUGGAAGAGAGCCAGGUGCAGUGGCUCAUGCCUGUAAUCCCAGCACUUUGGGAGGCUGAGGCAGGUGGAUCAUGAGGUCAGGAGUUUGAGACCAUCCUGGCCAACAUGGUGAAACCCUGUCUCUACUCAAAAUACAAAAAAUUAGCUGGGUGUGGUGGCACAUGCCUGUUAUCCCAGCUACUCGGGAGGCUGAGGCAGACGAAUGGCUUGAACCCGGGAGGGGGAGGUUGUGGUGAGCCGAGAUUGUGCCACUGCACUCCAGCCUGGGUGAUACAGCGAGACUCUGUCUCAAAAUAAAUAAAUAAAUAAAUAAAUAAAUAGGAAGAGAAGGGGUUAAUGGAGGGGGAGAACAUAAAAGGUGGGACUUGAACCUGGACUAGGAAUUAAGGUUGUGCUUGAAGGAAGGUCUGCAAGACUGGGGGCUGUGGGACAGCAGAGCCAUAACUAGCCUGAAAGUUUCCAUUGCACACACUUCUUCUGAGGGCACAGUGUGGCCAGCAGACUGGUGUGACUUCCAGCUCCUCGAAACCCUGGGCUGUGUGCCUUCACUUAAUGAAGACCCUGCAUAAUCAUCUGUGACAAUGCUGGGUCCUAGACGUGACAGUGAGGGAGCUCCUACUUGGUCCUUUUUUUUUUUUUUUAGAGACGGUCUCACUACAUUGCCCAGGCUGGUCUCAAACUCCUGGCCUUAAGCGAUCCUCCUCCCUUGGCCUCCCAAAGUGCUGGGAUUACAAGGCAUGAGCCACUGUGCCCCACCCUGGGUGGUCCUACAAUGAGUUCCAAAUGGUAGGGAUCCCACCCUAAGAUAAAGGGGUAAUUCUGAGGAUUGCUGGGGGCUUGGGCUGGGAUCCUUGGGACCAGAAUUCCAGAGGCUGGAACCUUGGGGUUUUAGGGGCCUAUGGAUGACAGGAUUCAAGGGGCAGCAGGUCUCUGAGGUCCGACAAGUGGGGAUGGGGGAAUCAGGUGUAGAGGCAACUUGGGGUUCAUCAGACUAGAGAGGUUUGAAUCCAAAGAAAUCUGGGGUCUGAGGGUGCUGGGGUCUUGGGGCACCUCGAAUCUGAACGCCUCUGGUAUGGAGGGAUGAAGGUCUUGGAUCAGGAACAAUCCCAAUGUUGUAGGGUCUUGAGCCUUGCAUUUGGGGGUCAGUGGCACCUUUGGGGUAUUGGAUCCAGUGCUCCUAAAGUACCUUAGGGUCACUCAAGGGCUGAGGGCCAAGGGCAUCAGAGGUCUGGGUCACCAUGAGCAUCCCCUCUUCUGGGAGCUGGACUCCCAGCCCUUAAGGGGUUGGGAAUCUGUGGGUAGAAAGAAGCUGAAGAUUCCAGGACAUUUGGGGUCUCAAAAUCCAGGUCCAGGAGGGACUGCAAGAGAGGGCUAUUUGAGAACUCGAGACCAGUAUCUCGGGUCCUGAGGUGUUGGUGGCCUUCAGUCGCACAUCUGAGGACCCCAGGCACCUCUGAGUCCUAUAAAUGAUAUCCAAAGCUCCUGAGAACCCUGGCUUGGGGGUGGGUGGACCUAUGGAGGUCUUUGAUCCCUGGCUUCCAGAGCAUCUUGGUGUCUGAUAUCUGGAUCUUGGGGGCUCUGGGAUGGGUCUCCCAAGUCAUUUUGGUAAGAGAACAGCUCGUGUUUCAGUAUAUCCGAGCACUCAGUGCAUCUUAAGAGUCUGGGGUCCCAGGGUGUCUGGGAGUUCCCUGGACAUCUUAGACUUCAGUGUUCCCGGACUGGAGGCCAGGUCUGUGGGCACUAAGUCGUGGGUAGAUUUGAGGGGCAGCAUCUGGAGAUUCCAGAGCAUAACAGAGUUUCAAACUCUGUUUGAAACUUUCUCAGGGGUCCUGCUGUCUCAGGGGUCCUGGGACUAUGAGAAUGUCUCAGAUGUGGGGGCACCAGGUCUUAGGUGAAUAUUCAGGAACUGUUUGUGGGUGACUCCAGGUCCUAUGGUCUCAAGAUCUGAUCUGGGAGUUGAAUAAAGGCAGAGCCAGUUAUGGGCAAGUCCUGACUAAUUGUGGGGCUGUAAUCUGAGGGACAUGGUGCCAGGCGUGACCGGGUUCUAGGUUGUUCAUUUCAACAGGGACCUGCCCUUUUCGGGAUCUAUGUGCUCCCUGGCCUUUCUGAGAUGCAAAGUAUGGGGACGCCUGGAGCCUCCUCGUGGGGUGUGGGGGUGGGGGAACGCCAGAACUCAGGACGCCUGGGACUUCUUAGACAGACACCCCAAUGAAGCUGGGGCUGGGGUCUCUCAGUCCUAGGUUUGGGUUCCAGGUUCCAGGUCUGAGAUCUCUCAAUCCAAACUCAAGCUCCAAGUUCCGGAUGUGCCUAGGUUUGGGUUUUAGGUCCGAACGGAGUCCGGGGUCCUGGACCCUCAAUUUUGGGUCCUCGGGCCGGCUAGGGGACCCACCAGGCCGUCCUCACCGCGCAGCCUCCUCGUGGCGACCCCCGCAGCCGGCGCAGCCGCAUCGCGCUGCGACCCAGUGGCACGCGCGCAGGGGCGCGUAGCAGCAGAGGCAGGGCACUGCCAGGGAGAGCGCGGCCAGCGCGGCCCAGCGCGCGGCGGGGCGCGGGUGGCCCGGCUCGCAGGCGCACGGGUCCGAGAAGUCGCCCUCGGCGUCCGACAGGCAGUGGUAGAGCAAGCUCUCGGCGCACCACAGGCAGCUUAGACGGCGCACCAGGAGGCGACCCGGGUCCGGGGCCUCUGCGCAGCGGCCGCCACGCCCGUCUGCUCUGCGACGGAAGAGCGCGCGGCAAUGCACGCAGCGCGCUGCCUCCUCCGCUUCCGGGGAGGCCUUGGCAGGCGCAGAGGAUGGGCCCGGGCCGGGGGGUGGGCGAGCGGGGGGCGCUGGGGGCGCAGCCUCGGUCAAAGGGGCAGGUAGUGCCGCUGGGGGACCCAGGGCAGCGCCCCUCAACGCGCCGGUCUUGGCGAAGCGCACGACGCAGGUGGACAGGGCGAGGGGCGCGGGUGGCCCGGAGCGCCGGUAAUCCUCGUAGCCGCGGCCGCCCCACCCCAGGCCCCCUGCCCCUGCCAGGGGCUCUGAGGGUUCCGGAAUCCCCGUGAACGGUAGAAGCGGAGGGUAGCUCUGCGGAACGAAGGGACAAACAGAUCAGAAUCCAUCCCAGUCUUAGCCUCAAGGAUCCAGUUCCCUAGCGCACUCUUGGGUCUGGGAUUCAGAUUUUCAAGACCCCAGCUUGCUUCUCUCCCAAGGUCCCUCAAUCCCCACUUUUCUCCAGGGACAGACAGAGGAAUCCACGCACCAACCCCACACCUUUAAGGACCCAGAGGCCGAAGGUUCCUAGUCCUGUCCUCUCUUAAGAUCCAAGAGCCCCAGCUCCCAGCCCCCUCUACCUUGAGAUCCAGGGGUUCUGGACCCAGCCACCUCCUCCUUAAAGGCGCAGGAGUUUGGUUCCUGGGCCUCUUUUACCCUUCUGGGUACCGACUCUCCCACCCUCCCCGUGAAUUUAACAGUCCUCUUCCAGGAGUUCCC